rnacentral:snRNA from 1 species
AUUAUUUCUUGGCCUUUUGGCUAAGAUCAAGUGUAGUAUUCUCUAGUUAAAAGAAGAAUUUAUUGAAAUAGAGCCACAUCACUAGAAUCCAAGAUCAUUUAUAUUUUGUUCUCUAUAGUACUAGAGUUAAUUUGUGAUACACUC